rnacentral:lncRNA from 1 species
GGUGUGUGUAUGGGUUUUCCUCACCUUCUCCUGAGAAAGGUUGUUUUUGAAUAAAUUCUAUGUAUUCGGGGUCUAUCUCAAAACUAGAUGCUAUGAUAGGCUUUGAAGAUUUUGGUGGUUCGAGAUGUGUGCCCAUAGGUCUAUGAAAUUCAUAGAUAGACAUGUUUGAAUUCAUAAUAGACCAGAGAUCAAGGAUUAGAUAAGAAGAAAGAAUAGCAGAGAUGAGGCAAAGGAUAAAAGGAAAAUAUAUAUUUUUUUUAUUUAUUUUUUUAUAAAAUGAUUAAACUAGUUCGUAGUCAACUCAGCAACCGUUUCCCCGGCAACGGCGCCAAAAAUGCUUGUUGACACUUGCUAACACCACUUGAAUACUAGGUUGUCAUCCCCAGCAUGGCACUAGAGUGUACUAUGGUAUUUAUACGCAUACAGAUAAUCCGCAAGCGCACGGAUACCGUUGAAGCUUUUACCCGGUUAAAGGUUUUAUCGUAUCCACAGGGAAACAGGAGGACCAACUACGCUCUAACUUAACCAAGAUAGAUAGAUAGGUGUAAAUAGGAAAGAUGAUAGAAUCGAAUAAGAACAAUAUUAAAGGUAAGAUAACAGUGAGUGAUAAUAUGGGAAUAGAGAAUAGAGCAAUUCUAGUAUAUGGGCGAUGGUAGCAGAAUAGAGAGGACAACUAUGGUUUCUCUACUUCAAAGGGGUAUGUCUAUGUCUGGGACGAACCACGUGAUAAGAGUACACCACAAAGGAUGCUUAUCCAUAGGCCGAUAAACCCUACCCGUCCUGCUAACGAGAGGUGGACUACAUGGGACCAACGUAACUGUCACCUACGCGGCCUACCACACGAUCCAGCUAGUCAGGGGAUAUCCACAAGUAAUCUAGGUCUAAGCACAACGCUUACACCUAUACUACAACUCUAACCUAUAGGGUCCUAUAGAUUAGAAGUACUCAAAAGAGUUGUGAACCAAAACAUACAUGAUUAGUAAUUGCAUAAUGAAUUAGAAGUAGAUUACCAGAGUCAUCCCAUGAGCAAGCUUGAUUAGAGCUUGAUCAUGGCGAAGUACAACCGGAGGAAGAACCGACAGGCCGGCCUCUCCUCUAAUCCUCCUUUGCUCUCCAUCUCGCUACUAUCUAGAUCUACUCUAGUUUAGAGAAGAGAGGAGCGCUCUCAUCUCUAAACCCUAGCUUUUGCUCUGUCUAUGAAUAAUGAAUAAUGAUCAAGGGGUGCCUCCUCCAGGGGCCAGGGGGUCUGGUUUUAUAGUCCCCUCAAGUGAACCUGGGCCGUCGGAUCAAACCGACAUUGAUUGAACGGUUAUUCUUGAUCCUUUAGGUCGGUGGAGCAUAAUCCGCGAGAUUGAGCGUGAUUGGCCGAAAAAGGUGGGUGGGCGCCCUAAGGACUUGGGCGGGCGCCCUGUCCCUGACUCCGUUCGGUCUCCGCUUCCUUCCCGUGGCUUCUGGAGUCUUCUAGAUGUAAGAUAAUUGCGCGGCACGUUGAUAUCUCUAUGUAAUCCCGACGUGUGGGCCUUUCUUCCUUAUUUCCUGAUAACCCUCUGUAGAAAUAGACAAACACCAAAACUCAUGGAAUUCUGUC